rnacentral:rRNA from 1 species
GUGCCAGCAGCCGCGGUAAUACGUAGGUGGCAAGCGUUAUCCGGAAUUAUUGGGCGUAAAGCGCGCGUAGGCGGUUUUUUAAGUCUGAUGUGAAAGCCCACGGCUCAACCGUGGAGGGUCAUUGGAAACUGGAAAACUUGAGUGCAGAAGAGGAAAGUGGAAUUCCAUGUGUAGCGGUGAAAUGCGCAGAGAUAUGGAGGAACACCAGUGGCGAAGGCGACUUUCUGGUCUGUAACUGACGCUGAUGUGCGUAAGCGUGGGGAUCAAACAGGAUUAG